UACGGCUACAUCACGUUGAAACACCGUUUCUCCUACGAUCACCGAAGUUAAGUAACGUUGAGCCUGGUCAGUACCUAAAUGGGUGACUGCUUGGGAAUGCU